CAGAUUAGAAUUAAACUUACCCAGAGCCUCAGACCUAGUUUCUCGUACACAAAACACAAUACCUAAUCCACAGCCGCCGCUCCGCCUCCGGCCCUCCGUGACUCCGCCUCCGGCCCUCCGCGACUCCGCCUCUCCCUCAGGCCUUAUCCUGCAGCCGCCGACUUCAAGAAUCAAAGAUUCAAAGUUUCAACCCUAAUUACACGCUCCAGCCUCUCCCUGGUCAGUACUCAGCAGUCACUUGCAGCCCUGUUGACUUCAAGAAUCAAAUCAAAGAUUCAAAGUUGGAGCUAUGUCACAAUCUCAACCAUUGCAGCCGGAGGUAGAGAUGAAGGAUUCCAACGAUGCUAAUGCCAAUACUCAAUCAAGCUCCAUCACGAAAAGGAAAAGAAAGCCUAUGGAUAAAAGAUCUGAAGUGUGGGAUCACUUCACUAAGUUCAUGGACGCGGAUGGCUCUACAAAAGCUAAGUGCAAUUAUUGUUCACGAGAAUAUUUUAGUGAUAGUAGUAAGAAUGGCACUUCUAAUCUUCGUACUCACCUCAAGACUUGCAAUAAGCUUCCACUUAGCGGUGACUCAAAACAAACUCAAUUGACUUUGCAAUCGGUAGGAGGGAAUGAGCUUUUAAAAAAAUGGCGUUUUGAUCAAAAAGCUUCUAGAAAGAAAUUAGCUUCCAUGAUCAUUAUUGAUGAACUUCCCUUUAGAUUUGUUGAGGGUGAGGGAUUUAGGGACUUCAUGCAAACUACUCAACCACUUUUUAAGAUACCAUCUCGUUUUACCAUAGCGAGAGAUUGUUAUCAAAUCUUUUUAGAUGAAAAGAAAGCGUUGAGUAGUUAUUUUAAAAUGUCGGGUCAAAGAGUUAAUAUCACCACGGACACUUGGACUUCUAUACAAAAGAUUGCUAUUCUGUUUUGCUGUCCUGUUUUGUUCUCUCUUGUUCAGUUCUGUUCAAUGUUCUGUUUUGUACUCCUUUCUGUGACUCUGUCCCUAUACUAUGCUUACAAGUUACAAUGCUCACAAAAAAAGGACUCUUGUUUUAUGUAUUAUUUGAUUUCCAGCAAGAAAAAUGGUGUUCUGUCAACUUUUAUCAAAAAAUAAUAACUAUUUUUUAGCUCCUUGAGAACAACUUUUAGUCUAAAAAAUUCUUGAGCUCUGGUAUAUAUCCUGAACUCUUGCUAUUCUAACAUUAAUCCUGAUAGUUUUUGUUUUUGCUUGUUUUUUAUUGCUUUCAGAUGGUGGCCUAGCUACUGGCUACUGGUUGUGACUUUGAGUUGGCCGCAUUGCAGAUUCCACUAUUCCAGAGUAGUCCAAGCACCUGCUGAUGGAUCAAAUGGAUUAAAUUAAAUUCUGUUUUUCAAUUAAGAAUUAGUACCUGCCACUGUCUUUUGAUGUUGUAACUGAACAGAAUAUUUGGAAUUUGUGUAAAACUAAAUUCUUGAUUGUUUUGCUAAUUGCUAGAAGGCUUGAGUGUAUUAAAUUUUAAUUGUUCUUUUGA